rnacentral:lncRNA from 1 species
AUGACACCUUUUGUUGCAGGAGUGAAGUGGAUUACAUAUUUGGUGGAAUUUGUAGCAUUGGAGCAAAUGCAUCCAUCAAGGUACCUUCUACAGAAUCUUUUGUUAGAUAAUUUGAAAAUAUAUAUAUAUAUAUAUAUAUAUAUAGUCUCGAUCUUUUGGACCACAGGAGUCCAAGAGAUUGUGGUCAAUCACCGUUUGAUAUUAAUCCAAUAAUUUAGAAAAGUUUCUUAAAAUAAGUGUAAGAGUGAGUGAACCGUUGAAUUUACAUCCAACGAUGAGUGACCACAAAUCUCUUAGACCCCUGUAAUCCAAGAGAUCAGGGGUCCAAGAGAUUUGUGAUUACUCACCGUUAGAUGUAAAUUCAACGGUUCACUCACUCUUACACUCCUUUUAAGAAACUUUUUUAAAUCAUUGGAUUAAUAUCAAACGAUGGGUGACUACAAUCUCUUGGACUCUUGUGAUCCAAAAGAUCGGGACUGUAUAUAUAUAUAUAUAUAUAUAUAUUAAUAUUAAUAUUUAAACGGUAUAGCCGCACAGGUAUACUCUUCAAAUAUAUUCGAAUAUUUUAAAAGUAUAGCCGCACUAUACUUCACAAGAUCGUUUUCUUUUUUGUAGAGUAAUAUCUUAGCCUUUUUCGAUUACUUUUUUUUGUAAUGAACAUGAUACCGAUGCUAAUUUUGGGGCCACGCAUUUCAUUCCAUCAUAGAAAAUCCUUUACCUUGGCUUGAAUGCCUUAUUUUCAUUUUCAUUUUCCAAGUUGGUUUGAAUGGUUAGAUGGACUAAAAUGGUUCAGUUUUUUUUUUCUUCACCUUUUGUAAUGGAUAAAUGCUUUCAAUUUUUCACCCACCUCAAGAUAUCAAAAUCCCACGCAAAAAUCAUUUCAAAAGUGUGGGGAUGAGAGAGAGAUAGAGGCAACGAUGAGGUUUUGAGAAAAAGAAAAUUGUUAAAAAUGAAUUUUACCAAACGCGAAUUAUAGACUUUGGACUCACAAAUUAUUUUUUAGUUUUUUUUUUUUUAAAAAAAAAAAAGAUCUAAGUAGAAUAACAAACAUGAGCUAAGGGUAAGAAUUUGGCAUAUUCCCCCAUGGCCAAUUGAUGUGUCCACGUGUGCCCGAGGCAUAACUUUCAAUUAUAUUAAAAAAUAAACUAUUUUGGUAACAAUUAACAUCAACAAAAUGAAUUUUCCAUAUAUAAUCUUUAAAUGGUAAUUUAGAAAGCAAACGGUUCCGAUUAUGAUAUGUGUAUUAAAGUAAAGAUUCCUUAUUCACAAUAUAGUGGACUGUCCUCAUUCGGAUUUAUGCAUUUAUGCAGACCUACUUUGAGGAUCAAGAUACGUAUAAAUUGAAAAAAGUCUUAUCAAAGUAGGCAAUCUCAUGCAGCAUCAUUAAAAAAAAAAUACAACCAUUAGAGAAUCAAAAACAUUAUUGUAGGUGAUAAAUGAAGUGUGUUUAAACUUUAAUUCUAAGACAAGUCAUAUGCCCAUUAAUAAAUGAUACAUAGAAAAGUAAAAAAGAUGACGAAUAUUGCGACAAUAAAGGUUUGAAGUUAUGCAACCCAAAAAUGUUUGGUUUGGUCUUUUUAUUUUGUAACUCCAUGAAGUGUUGUUAUGUAUAAUAAUUUUGAAUAAUCAUGGGAGUCAUAGGUAAUUUUAUACGACAGUCGCAAGAAAGGCUAUCACUACUGGACCAAUACAAGAGGAUGGGCCAAUGCGAAUAGAAAGUGAGGACACGCGGCCAAGUCAAGGGUCGAGGCAAUUAAGCAAACCUUCCUAUCCAAAACGAAACGACAUCGUAUGAAGAAGAGAACCUUCCUAUCCAAAAAGGGCGCCGAUCUCGCAAAUGAUUAAACCUUAACCCUCGGGCCCUUAAGAGUCCCAAACGAGAGUGAGAGGAGAUCUGAGAAAAUGAGAGAUGACAAACACAGAGGUGGUCUGGAAACCCUAACAAUGGCAUUGGCUCUGUGAUAGGAGCCUUCGCUGGAGAUCAGAGACAUGAGCGUGAAGAAAGAGAGAGACGACACGACGGGGCAUGA